rnacentral:tRNA from 1 species
AAGAUACUAGUAUAAAGCCCAUUACACUACCUUGUCGAGGCAGAAAUGUGGGUUAAAUCCCCGCGUAUCUUA